UGGUUUAUAUAUAUAUAUCUCUGGCAGGAUGCACUUCCAUAUAAAUUUUACCUAGGUUGAUCUUGCAUUCAUCCCCUUAUCUAAUGAUGUAUCAUGUGGCUAAACCUUUUGACAGUUGACGCUUAGUUUGCUUCCACUUUAUGCAAAAUAUGUUUUAACAACUGUAAUUUGCUUUGUUUUGCAUGAAUGUGUCACAGGUUUUGGCAGGCUUGCUAAAUGUGGCAGAUAGAGCUGAUUGGAGAAAUUGUAAGGAUAGCAAAGAAGAAGAAAUUAAAAUGGUCGAGAGAUUCAAGAGUGGAUUUCAAGAAUAUGAUCCAAAUCAAUAGGAUAUCCAAGAAAGAUGCAACACGAGAGCUUUUCCUCUUAUGUUCUUCACCUUACACAACGUAGCAUUAUCUUGAGGUUCUCUUUGCUCCCGGCUUGGGUAUAAUUGCAAGAAAGGAUGCAAAUGUAACCGGAUAGUAACUGCACAUAUUUAGACACCAACAUUAGUUCAACAAUUUGGUGUUAUACUGAGAAAUUCUGCACCUAUUAUGGAACUUCGGUCUACUUGCAUAAUGGACAUUGGCCAAGUUGCUGCUAGGAGGUAUAGCAGUUCAAUUUUUAUGUAUGCUAUACGUGUUCACUCAGCUUGUCAGUUAGGCUAUCGAGAUAGUUGGACAAAACGUCGCAGAGCAGAACCAUCCACUGUAUGAAUGUAUGAAUGGAUCAUGUAUGAGCUUGUGAGUUUGUUUGCAACUGUUUGAGAUAAGAUGCAAUUUUAACUUUAUUGUCUGACGGAUGUGGUUCUUAUUUGUUAGAAACAUUACAAACUUUAUUGACGGAACUGCUAUCAUGUUAACUGGUUCGCCAGAAUAAAGUUUUAUGUAUUGUAACAAGUGUUCCUUCCA